rnacentral:rRNA from 1 species
GACGAACGCUGGCGGCGUGCUUAACACAUGCAAGUCGAACGGAAAGGCCCUGCUUUUGUGGGGUGCUCGAGUGGCGAACGGGUGAGUAACACGUGAGUAACCUGCCCUUGACUUUGGGAUAACUUCAGGAAACUGGGGCUAAUACCGGAUAGGAGCUCCUGCUGCAUGGUGGGGGUUGGACAGUUUCGGCGGUUGGGGAUGGACUCGCGGCUUAUCAGCUUGUUGGAGGGGUAGUGGCUUACGAAGGCUUAGACGGGUAGCCGGCCUGAGAGGGUGACCGGCCACAGUGGGAUUGAGAUACGGACCAGACUCAUACGGGAGGCAGCAGUGGGGAAUAGUGCACAAUGGGCGGGAGCCUGAUGCAGCAACGCCGCGGGCGGGAUAACGGCCUACGGGUUGUGAACCGCUUUCGCUUGUGACGAAGCGGGUGUGACGGUAAUGGGUAAAGGAGCACCGGCUAACUACGUG